AUUGAACGCUGGCGGCAUGCUUUACACAUGCAAGUCGAACGGUAACAGGCCUCAAGGUUCUGACGAGUGUCUAACGGGUUUUUAAUUCAUCGUAACUUGCCCAGUCUUUGGGUAUAACUACUCGAAAUAGUAGCUAAUACCGCAUACGAUCUAUGGAUGAAAGCGGUGGACCGUAAUGCCUCGCUCGAUUUGAUCUGCCGAUGUCAGAUUAGUUAGUUGGUUGGGUAAAUGCUCACCAAGCCAACGACCUGUAGCUGGUCUGAGAGUACGACCAGCCAAAAGGGGAGUGAGAAAGGGCAAAGAAGACUACGGGAGGCAGCAGAGGGGAAUUGUGGACAAUGGGAGAAAGCAUGAUAAAGCAAUGCCGCGUGCAGGAAGAAGGAAUUCGGGUUGUAAACUGCUAUUGUACGGAACGAAACGGAUGUGGAUAAUAACAGGGGCUAAUGAAGGUAACGGAAGAAUAAGCAACGGCUAAGUACGUG
rnacentral:rRNA from 1 species